AGGGGCCACGAGGGAUGACGGCUGCAGGGGUCAGUCUCUGGACCGAGCAGAUGCAGAGAGAGAGGAAGCGCACCAAAGAGCAGCACAGGAGGGGAGCAGAGCGCCAUAAGGAGGUGCUGCAAGUGAGGACAGCUGCAGAGUCCAUCUCUGGACCGAGCAGCUGAUGAAGAGGCACUGGGCGACUGCAGGAACAUCCCAGUUAACCAAUGCGCGGUGUUGAU